GUGCCCAGAUUAAUUUCCUAUGAACAAAGUUAACCUAUAAUUUCAACCAAAUAAAAAGCUGACCUUAUAAGAAUUUUGAUAGGCAACAUAAUUCAGUUUCUGUGGAGAAAACACAACUCUUGCAAAUCUUCCAUUCUCAUACAUACAUGAUACAUGCUCUCAAUCGCUCGUUACAACUACUGCUGCAUCCAAUUCCCACAAAUUUCAAACUCCUAACUUUCUCUCUCCUCCCUGAAUCAACCCAACAAAUUGCAAUCUCAUCCAAAACCUCAAAUAAAUCUUAUUCAACUUCAAUGGAAGAAACCCAUUUAACUAAUGACCCAAAAAUCUCAUCAUCCUCCCAAUACCCAACUCCAUUAUCUCCGCCAUUCCCACUUUAUUCCAAGCAAAUUGAGCUUAACAGAGCCAUGGCUGCUUCUUCAAGGUCCAGUCUUUUUUCUCUCUCCAGAAAUGACGUCAUCUUCGAGGAUCAAUGGUUGUUGGUUGUGAAUAAACCCUCUGGGAUUUACUGUGAGAGUGUUUUGUCUUCUGCUCCUCACCUUCUUCAACAAUCUUCAAGUUUAGAUUCGGUCGAAGCUUCGGAGUUUCAUCUUGCUAACAGGCUGGAUCGCGAUACAAGUGGUGUAAUGGUUAUAACCAAAUUACACAAAGUAGCUAGCAAGCUUGUCAAGGCAUUUACUGAUCACAAGGUCCAGAAAACUUAUAUUGCUCUUUGUAUAGGGUCUGCACCAAAUUGGGACAGGAUCAGGUUAAAAUCUGGCCAUGGUAGAUCGAAAUAUGGUGCUUGGCGUGUUUAUGCUGCAUCAGAUGUUGGUCGCACACUGCCUGGUGGAUCUGUGGUGAGGGACAUGGAUACCUUAUUUGAGUUGGAUAGGGUCGUCCAUUUUGAAGAGGCAUCUGAAUGUGUGAAAGAUCAAGAAAAAACUAUCAUUGUUGAGGAAAAAUCAUUGACAGAUGCUAACCAAGGAAGGGAUGUGAUUUUGGUUAGAGCUUUUCCGAAGAGUGGAAGGACACAUCAAAUCCGGUUGCACUGUCAGUACCUUGGAAUGCCUAUUAAAGGAGAUGUUAAAUAUGAAGGAGUCGGUGAGUGGAAAGGGGAGACGUGUGAUGGCCAUUGUCUUCAUGCAGAGAGUUUAUCAUUGGAACACCCUGUUACUGGUCGUCCAGUAUUAUUUGAGGCACCAUUGCCUCUGUGGGCAACCCAAGCAAUGCAAUCGUGAUAUUUUAAGAUUGUGUUGGACCAAGUCACUUGCUGAUUUUUAUGCCGAUAGUUCAAUUGGUAGUUUGGCAUGUUUGAUAUCAUAAUUCAUAAAUGACAGUCUGAUGGAAACCUGGCUGGGACAUUUGGACUGUACAUUUAAGAACUGAAAGAAACAGUUCGCCUAAUUACUCUUACUUCUUGUGGUGAAAAAGCCUUGGUUUUAAUACCUGCAAUUUGAGCUGGUGACUUCGUCUGCAAAUGAUCUUGAUGAGUUCCAGUUGAUCAAAUGAGUUGGGGCAUUGGAACCGACUCCUGGAUGCUAUAAGAAACUUCUCAAAUUCUUUUAAGCCUUAUAUAGCUUUCAUGCAGAGCCCUGAAGGCUAAAGAUGUUCUUUAUUUAGAACUCCAGUCUCAGUAGUGUCAGAAACAACACUGGUAUUCGCUGUUCAAGCUUCAUAUUGUGCCAUUAGUCAAACUCUGAUACUAGAAUUGCUGCCUUUCAUCAUAGCAUUUAUCAUUGUGGCAAUUAAUACAAAGAACAUGGCAUACUUUUUCCUGGCCCAUUUGCAUGGUGUGGUAUGUGCUAGGAUAAGCUUUUCCAUUGAAACUUUGCAGGCUACCCUUUGCAAAGUUCCGAUUUCAGGACCUUGAAUUCUUCUGCUUUCAGAUAUGAGUACAAGGGUGCUAUUAAAUGAGGAUGCUGGAAUAGGAAGGGGGGCAACUUCAUUUCCGUUGGCGGAAUAUUUCUUGGGCAUAUUCAUGUUUUUAUUUGGUAUCAUCAUCUUCCAUUUCCUCGGUUCUGAGAUGGGAUUCAGGUCUUGAAGUUCAGUCAUGCGCUUAUAUUGAGGAUCAUAUGUGCAAGCCAGCAUUUGCUAAUGCUCCUCAGUGCGAUUGUAUUCUCUAUCGGGGAUCUCACUUCGCCCUCUCAGGCUUCCUUGGAACGAAGAUUUGCAAUGUAUGCCAAUGCUAGAAUAAGCAUGGAGCCCUUUCAUAAUUGCCUUCCAAUCUAAAUCUGAUGCUGUCAUGGGAUUCCUUCUUGCUGCUGACAGACUUUAGUCACACGUCUUAACGAAAAUUGCUGAUGUUGCCUGUUGGUGCUGAAUUGUUGGUGAUUACAAUCUGCUGACGACGUAUGUAGGAGAUCAGGGAUUUGCAAUCGGAUCAGCAAUUCCAGUAUAUUUCACUCUCUUUGGAGCUUAUGUAAGCAGAGCUGCUGGCCUACAUUGGAUGCCUUAGUAAGGAAAAGCACUGAUAGACUAGAAAGUGAGAAUUUUACCUAUGAAAAUAUAAACAAUCAGUUCUCGAACUAAAGCUCUUGUCACUAAAACUCCACUUUAUCCUUCAUAAGAGUUAUAUGAUUGCAACAAUAGUUUUUUAUGUCUUGCAAAGAUAAUAAAUAUACAAAUUAGGAUACUUUUUUCCAUUUUUUGUUACUUGGGAUAAAAGUAAUAGCAAACAAGUUGGAGUAGGUAAUCUAAUCUUUCAUUAAAAAAAAAAAGUUGGGAGUAGGUAAACGAAAGUUUUAGAUCAUCGCAUCCUCAAUUGAUUUUAUUGUGAUCCCAUGUGAUUUUUUUUCAUUUUACUCUAAAAAAAAUGUGAUUUUCUUACAUUUUGUGAAGCAUAAAUUAGUUAACUAGUCCAGUAAAACUUUUCAUGUUUCUUUUUCAAAAAAAAAAAAAAAAACAGAGUACCGUGAAAAUUACAGACCUAAAU